rnacentral:rRNA from 1 species
UACGGAGGGGGCUAGCGUUGUUCGGAAUUACUGGGCGUAAAGCGCGCGUAGGCGGCUUUGUAAGUUAGAGGUGAAAGCCCAGGGCUCAACCCUGGAAUUGCCUUUAAGACUGCAUCGCUUGAACAUCGGAGAGGUAAGUGGAAUUCCGAGUGUAGAGGUGAAAUUCGUAGAUAUUCGGAAGAACACCAGUGGCGAAGGCGACUCACUGGACACAUAUUGACGCUGAGGUGCGAAAGCGUGGGGAGCAAACAGG